AAACUACUCUAUCCGUCCCAAAUUAAGUGACUCAAAAAUGACUCAGUUUUGUACAAAAGUUAGUACAAAACUGAGUCAUUUUUGAGUCACUUAAUUUGGGACGGAGGGAGUACUUG
rnacentral:pre_miRNA from 1 species